GACAGAGGGGGCAAGCGUUGCUCGGAAUUACUGGGCGUAAAGGGCGCGUAGGCGGGAUGGCAAGUCGGUCGUGAAAUCCUUCGGCUCAACCGAAGAACGUCGAUCGAUACUGCUGUUCUAGAGGAUUGCAGAGGAGACUGGAAUUCCCGGUGUAGUGGUGAAAUGUGUAGAGAUCGGGAGGAACACCGGUGGCGAAGGCGGGUCUCUGGGCAAUUCCUGACGCUGAGGCGCGAAAGCGUGGGGAGCAAACGGG
rnacentral:rRNA from 1 species